AUCGAUAGGAUGAUGAUGAUGUUCCAUCGAUAGGAUAAUGAUGUUGAUGCUCAAUUGAUAGGAUAAUGAUUAUUCAUUGAUAGGAUGAUAAUGCUGCUCCAUCGACAGGAUGAUGAUGAUACUACUUCAUCGAUAAGAGGAUUAACAAUGAUCCACUGAUAGGAUACUAUUGAUGAGGAUCCAUUGGUAGGAUGAUGAUAACAAAGAUCCGUCGAGAGGAUGAUGAUGAAGAUUCGUCGGUAGAACAAUGUUGAUCCAUUGGUAAGAUAAUGAUGACGAUCCAUUGGUAGGAUAAUGCUCAUCCAUUGGUAG
rnacentral:lncRNA from 1 species